rnacentral:rRNA from 1 species
GGGAUUGCCUCAGUACGGCGAGUGAAGCGGCAACAGCUCAAAUUUGAAAUCUGGUCCCCUCUGGGGGCCCGAGUUGUAAUUUGAAGAGGAUGCUUUUGGCGAGGCGCCUUCCGAGUGCCCUGGAACGGGACGCCACAGAGGGUGAGAGCCCCGUAUGGUAGGACGCCGAGCCUCUGUAAAGCUCCUUCGACGAGUCGAGUAGUUUGGGAAUGCUGCUCAAAAUGGGAGGUAAACCCCUUCUAAAGCUAAAUAUUGGCCAGAGACCGAUAGCGCACAAGUAGAGUGAUCGAAAGAUGAAAAGCACUUUGAAAAGAGAGUUAAACAGCACGUGAAAUUGUUGAAAGGGAAGCGCUUGCGACCAGACUUGCGCCCGUCGGAUCAACCGUCCCUCGUGGGCGGCGCACUCCGGCGGGCUCAGGCCAGCAUCAGUUUUCCCGGGGGGAGAAAGGCGGUGGGAAUGUGGCUCUUCGGAGUGUUAUAGCCCGCCGCGUAAUGCCCUCGGGGGGACUGAGGACCGCGCGUAUGCAAGGAUGCUGGCGUAAUGGUCGUCAGCGACCCGUCUUGAAACACGGACCAAGGAGUCGUCCUAAUAUGCGAGUGUACGGGUGUAAAACCCCUGCGCGUAAUGAAAGUGAACGGAGGUGAGAGCUUCGGCGCAUCAUCGACCGAUCCUGAUGUUCUCGGAUGGAUUUGAGUAAGAGCAUAUUGGGCCGGACCCGAAAGAAGGUGAACUAUGCCUGUAUAGGGUGAAGCCAGAGGAAACUCUGGUGGAGGCUCGCAGCGGUUCUGACGUGCAAAUCGAUCG